rnacentral:rRNA from 1 species
AUUGAACGCUGGCGGCAGGCCUAACACAUGCAAGUCGAACGGUAGCACAGAGAGCUUGCUCUCGGGUGACGAGUGGCGGACGGGUGAGUAAUGUCUGGGAAACUGCCCGAUGGAGGGGGAUAACUACUGGAAACGGUAGCUAAUACCGCAUAAUGUCGCAAGACCAAAGGGGGGGACCUUCGGGCCUCUUGCCAUCGGAUGUGCCCAGAUGGGAUUAGCUUGUUGGUGAGGUAAUGGCUCACCAAGGCGACGAUCCCUAGCUGGUCUGAGAGGAUGACCAGCCACACUGGAACUGAGACACGGUCCAGACUCCUACGGGAGGCAGCAGUGGGGAAUAUUGCACAAUGGGCGCAAGCCUGAUGCAGCCAUGCCGCGUGUGUGAAGAAGGCCUUCGGGUUGUAAAGCACUUUCAGCGGGGAGGAAGGCAAUGCGGUUAAUAACCGUGUUGAUUGACGUUACCCGCAGAAGAAGCACCGGCUAACUCCGUG